rnacentral:lncRNA from 1 species
AAUAUUUCUUUAAAAAAAAAAAACCUGACGGCAAAAGAGAAAGAUUGAGCAUUUUUAUAAUUUGAUAGUUGGAUUUCAUUUUAACUUUCAUAAACUUUUAUAAACUUUAACUUGUUUUGAAAAUGGCGGAAAGGCAAUCGGAACAAACUGUUCAUUGGAGGUGUCUACAAAAUCUGAAACUGGGAUUUACUAUGAUAAACUUAUCCGCGAUUUUGGCAGCACCGGGAUAGAUGACGUACUGAUCAACAGAACUGAAAAGGCAACAGAUAAAUUAAGCACCAUCUAAGGAGAAAGGGAGUCUUCCUUUCAGUGAGUUUUCAAAUUAGUAGCUAAAACCUUGAGGCACAACGGCAGAGGAACAUAAAAAGACAGGAGGUGACAGUGGAAAAGACGUGUCUUAUCAGUAUCUGACUUUCUUUAUGGAAGAUGACACUAAACUGGAACAGAUCAAACAGAAGUAAUCUACGGGAGAUUUGAAGUCAGAGCUGAUAUCUGUACUGCAAAGCUUAUUUCCAGGCACAGACAAAAACGUGGGAGAGUGACCGACCUGAUGGUGUAGAAAUUUAUGCCUCCCAGAGAGUGAAUUAUCCAUACUAAUAAUGUGACAUCAGUUUUAUACACGAAAAAGAGAACUGAAACUAAGUAUUCUUAAAGGCGUAGUUUAAAGAUAAAGUAAAUUACCUGAACUACAAAAGAAAUUGAUAUUUGAUGUAAAACUUAUACGUUUCUAUUUACAUUGUUUUUGAGCACUUUCAAACAAAUGUGGCAUAAUCUUGCACUUGACAUGUAUAUAUUAUAUCAGCCAACACAGUGAUGAAAAAUCAAAUCACCAGUAAGAAAUAAAUAGUUCAGUUUACAAAUUGCUUUUAUAAUUUAAUGUCAAAUACACUAGUUUUUGAAAAUGAAAUAUCUUAACCUUAACCUAUACGAUAAAAAUAAAUGAAAUAGCUUAACUUUAUAUCAAAGGUUGUAAGUUAAAAUAAUUUCUAUUGAUUUACGACCUCUUAAAUUCCAUUCGUAUAAAUUUUGGUGCACUACAAUAUUAUCAUUCAUGGUCCACAAAUCUUUCUUGUGAGCUGACUGAACAUAUUGUACUGAAAUAUCGAUAUCAUAUAUUGCCAUAUGUGUCAUUUGUCAGUUAUGAAAUAGUAUAUUUUCUUCUAUCAAAACUAAAAUAUCGAAUACCUGUAAAAUAAUUAGCAAUCUUGUACAUUCCACUGUCUAUAUAAACAUUCUUAAUGUCAGUUAUUAACAUGAAUUUCGAUACUGGGUUCAGCAAUUCUAUUCAAAAGUUCAAUAGUUCUAUUUAUAGAUAUUAAAAACAAUUAAAAAUAUUUUAAUUCAGUAUAUUGAUAAAUAUUGCAAAAAGGUUGCAAAAAUGGAAAAUUGUUGAAUGCCUAAAAUAACAGCCAAAAUUAUUGUCUUUAAGCUUACAAUAGGUAAUAGACAAUAUUCUUGCUGACAACUUUACAAUAGAUUUUAUCUUCUAAUCUGCACGUAUCAAAUAUCAUUCUUCCAAGAAGAACUUUAAUACUGUGAAAAUUUACAGUUGCUUGAACAAAUAAAAAGCAUAUGUUCAAAACAAUGUAUGAAAUAAGGUCAAGUUUAUUUCUGUUGUAAAAAAAAAAAGAUCAAUUAUUUGAAAUAUUAAUAUGUAUACCCGACUUGCUCAAUGAAAUUAACAAGCCUAACUGAACACAUUCCAAUUGCUAGAUGUUAUUGACAGUUACAAAUCAAACUUGAAAUCAGUCGUAAAUGUACUAAGCUCCUGUCAUUUCGUUUUUGUGUAAUACGUAUCUUUAAUAAACUUUUACAAAACCA